rnacentral:rRNA from 1 species
CCGGAGGCAGCAGUAGGGAAUUUUGGACAAUGGGCGAAAGCCUGAUCCAGCCAUUCCGCGUGCAGGAUGAAGGCCCUCGGGUUGUAAACUGCUUUUGUACGGAACGAAACGCGCUGGGUUAAUACCCUGGCGUAAUGACGGUACCGUAAGAAUAAGCACCCGCUAACUACGUGCCAGCAGCCGCGGUAAUACGUAGGGUGCAAGCGUUAAUCGGAAUUACUGGGCGUAAAGCGUGCGCAGGCGGUGAUGUAAGACAGAUGUGAAAUCCCCGGGCUCGACCUGGGAACUGCAUUUGUGACUGCAUCGCUGGAGUGCGGCAGAGGGGGAUGGAAUUCCGCGUGUAGCAGUGAAAUGCGUAGAUAUGCGGAGGAACACCGAUGGCGAAGGCAAUCCCCUGGGCCUGCACUGACGCUCAUGCACGAAAGCAUGGGGAGCAAACAGGAUUAGAUACCCGAGUAGUCCG